UGGGGAAUAUUGCACAAUGGGCGAAAGCCUGAUGCAGCGACGCCGCGUGAGGGAUGACGGCCUUCGGGUUGUAAACCUCUUUCAGCAGGGAAGAAGCGCAAGUGACGGUACCUGCAGAAGAAGCACCGGCUAACUACGUGCCAGCAGCCGCGGUAAUACGUAGGGUGCGAGCGUUGUCCGGAAUUAUUGGGCGUAAAGAGCUCGUAGGCGGCUUGUCACGUCGGAUGUGAAAGCUCGGGGCUUAACCCCGAGUCUGCAUUCGAUACGGGCUAGCUAGAGUGUGGUAGGGGAGAUCGGAAUUCCUGGUGUAGCGGUGAAAUGCGCAGAUAUCAGGAGGAACACCGGUGGCGAAGGCGGAUCUCUGGGCCAUUACUGACGCUGAGGAGCGAAAGCGUGGGGAGCGAACAGG
rnacentral:rRNA from 1 species